AGGGAAUUUUCCGCAAUGGGCGAAAGCCUGACGGAGCAACGCCGCGUGAGUGAGGACGGCCUUCGGGUUGUAAAACUCUGUUCUUGAGGAAGAAUUCCUUCCAGGCGAACGGCCUGGAAGGUUGACGGUACUCAAGGAGAAAGCCCCGGCUAACUACGUGCCAGCAGCCGCGGUAAUACGUAGGGGGCGAGCGUUAUCCGGAAUUAUUGGGCGUAAAGCGCGUGCAGGCGGCCGGUUAAGUCAGGUGUGAAAGGCUGCGGCUCAACCGCAGAGCGGCACCUGAAACUGGUCGGCUUGAGUGCAGGAGAGGGGAGCGGAAUUCCCGGUGUAGCGGUGGAAUGCGUAGAGAUCGGAAGGAACACCAGUGGCGAAGGCGGCUCUCUGGCCUGUAACUGACGCUGAGGCGCGAAAGCGUGGGGAGCAAAC
rnacentral:rRNA from 1 species